rnacentral:rRNA from 1 species
AUCAACGCUGGCGGCGCGCCUAACACAUGCAAGUCGAGCGAGAAAGCCCCGCAAGGGGUGAGUAAAGCGGCGCACGGGUGAGUAACACGUGGGUAACCUACCCUCGAGUGGGGGAUAACCCGGGGAAACCCGGGCUAAUACCGCAUGACAUCCUUUGGGCUACGGCCUGGGGGGUCAAAGGAGCAAUCCGCUUGAGGAGGGGCCCGCGGCCGAUUAGCUAGUUGGUGAGGUAACGGCCCACCAAGGCAAAGAUCGGUAGCCGGUCUGAGAGGACGCACGGCCACACUGGAGCUGAGACACGGUCCAGACUCCUACGGGAGGCAGCAGUGGGGAAUUUUGCACAAUGGCCGAAAGGCUGAUGCAGCGACGCCGCGUGAGUGAUGAAGCCCUUCGGGGUGUAAAGCUCUUUCGGCGGGGACGAUAAUGACGGUACCCGCAGAAGAAGCCCCGGCAAACUACGU